UACGGGGGGGGCAAGCGUUGUUCGGAAUUACUGGGCGUAAAGGGCGCGUAGGCGGCCUUCUAAGUCAGACGUGAAAUCCCUCGGCUCAACCGAGGAACUGCGUCUGAUACUGGAUGGCUUGAGGUUGGGAGAGGGAUGCGGAAUUCCAGGUGUAGCGGUGAAAUGCGUAGAUAUCUGGAGGAACACCGGUGGCGAAGGCGGCAUCCUGGACCAAUUCUGACACUGAGGAGCGAAAGCCAGGGGAGCAAACGGG
rnacentral:rRNA from 1 species